ensembl:lncRNA
GUUCCUAAACAACCAAAUAUCACGUCAAUAUCACAUAUCAUGUCCUUAGAAAAUGCAGUUUUUUACAGUUUCUUCACACACUGAACGUGACGAUAGUAUUCAGAUCAAAGUAUCCCGCUUUUUGUUUUUUAAUCAAAACUCUGGUUUUAGUGGCCUAUCAGUAAAAUUUUAAAGCUGGCACAUAAUUUGAAAUCGGAACUUUCAACAACAACGGAAUUGAAAUGGAGACUCAGCAUUGCUACAGCUUGUUGCUAUUUAAGUGUGCUGUAGCAAAAGGAUUUAAUCAGGUGUGUCCUUAAAUAUUGCCUAUUAGUGUUUCCUCUUAUAUUAAGAUCUGAAUGUUUUCUAAGAAUUACAAUUUCCCAGCAGUUACGCAAAUGAGAUUAAAUCAUCACUUGCAACUGUGUAUAAAAAGCUCCGCUGUCAGUACUGCAUUAUCACAAUCAUCCACAUCUCUGAGACAGUCUGCUGAAGUUGUGAAGACCUGAUGGUAACAUUUCUCAUCAAUCUUUUAUUGCUUCUGUGUUUUCAGUGUAAUGUUGGUGGAAUGGUUAUUUUGCUGAUGGUUUUGACCACAUCUCAUCAGAAUUAUUGUUAACAGGUGAAAUAACUGAAACCAUGAUCAAGGUUGUGUUUCUGCUUGGAUGCCUGCUGAGCCUUGCUCUGGCAAAUCCUAAUGACUCAGCACACGAGCGCGAUGCACGUUCUUCAUCUGGGUAGGGGACUAUUGGGACCCUAAAUCGUCUUACCCUGCUUUUACCUCUUCUACAGAAUCCAACACUUCUGCAGAAUUCAACACUCCUUGCAGCUAUUCUUGCUGCUAUACGAUAAGCUGCUUCUUAACCAACAGCUAUUACACCACAAAGGAUGAAUUGAAAAUGAAC